UCCAGUGGUAGUCAGCUGUCCGUGACACAACCAUGUCUGUGACAGUGUUACACAACUGGGAGAUGAAACAUUUUAGAUGUUUGUCAUCGUCUCUGUUCUAGAGGCAUCUGACACUAAUCUAUAUUGUGCUUCUCUGAGAGUGUGCUGUACAGUUAAUAACCUGUUCAGCACUAGUCUGAAAGCAUACAUA